rnacentral:ncRNA from 1 species
UGUCUCCUCCAUCUCCUCAAAGGAUGGAUUUAGCCCCAAGCCUCACGGCCUGGGGCUUUUUUU